AUCAAAUCAUCAGGGUGCAUCUGAAAAUCUUUCUAUAAUAAGCUAACAUAAAUUUUAUAUUUAUCUGAUAUGUAGCAGAAUAGGGAUCAAAAUCUUCAGGGAUGCUUGAAUUUUUUGAGCUUGAUGUCUCGCACGCACACCAGGCUCCAUAGGGAAGAAGAAUGAUUUUUUUGGGCAUUAAUCUUCAGAAAGGAAGCAAGAGGAGGAUGAGAACUCAUCU
rnacentral:lncRNA from 1 species